rnacentral:rRNA from 1 species
ACGGAGGGUGCGAGCGUUGUUCGGAAUUAUUGGGCGUAAAGCGCGUGUAGGCGGCUUGGUAAGUCGGGUGUGAAAGCCCGGGGCCCAACCCCGGAACUGCAUUCGAUACUGCCUCGCUAGAGUCCCGGAGAGGAGAGCGGAAUUCCCGGUGUAGAGGUGAAAUUCGUAGAUAUCGGGAGGAACACCAGCGGCGAAGGCGGCUCUCUGGACGGUGACUGACGCUGAGACGCGAAAGCGUGGGGAGCAAACAGG